GGAAGCGAAUCGGGGCUGGUGUCCCGCGCGGACUUCAAAUCCGUUGCUCCGUGCCGAGAGGUACGGAGGGUGGGUUCGAUUCCCACACGCUUCCGCCA
rnacentral:tRNA from 1 species